GAUGAACGCUGGCGGCGUGCCUAAUACAUGCAAGUAGAACGCUGAAGGAGGAGCUUGCUCUUCUGGAUGAGUUGCGAACGGGUGAGUAACGCGUAGGUAACCUGCCUGGUAGCGGGGGAUAACUAUUGGAAACGAUAGCUAAUACCGCAUGACAACAGUUAUUGCAUGAUAACUGUUUAAAAGGGGCAACUGCUCCACUACCAGAUGGACCUGCGUUGUAUUAGCUAGUUGGUGAGGUAACGGCUCACCAAGGCGACGAUACAUAGCCGACCUGAGAGGGUGAUCGGCCACACUGGGACUGAGACACGGCCCAGACUCCUACGGGAGGCAGCAGUAGGGAAUCUUCGGCAAUGGACGGAAGUCUGACCGAGCAACGCCGCGUGAGUGAAGAAGGUUUUCGGAUCGUAAAGCUCUGUUGUAAGAGAAGAACGAGUGUGAGAGUGGAAAGUUCACACUGUGACGGUAUCUUACCAGAAAGGGACUGCUAACUACGUG
rnacentral:rRNA from 1 species